CCGCUGAAUUUUAGCAUAUUAAUAAGCGGAGGAAAAGAAACUAACAAGGAUUCCCCCAGUAACGGCGAGUGAAGUGGGAACAGCUCAAGCUUGAAAUCUCUGUUGCUUGCAACAGCGAAUUGUAGUCUCGAGAAGCGUUUUCCAGACGGACCUUCCCUGCCUAAGUUGCUUGGAACAGCACAUCAGAGAGGGUGACAAUCCCGUUCGUGGCAGGGCGGGCCGUUCACGAUACGCUUUCCAUGAGUCGGGUUGCUUGGGAAUGCAGCCCAAAAUUGGUGGGUAAACUCCAUCUAAAGCUAAAUAUUGGCACGAGACCGAAUACGAACAAGUACCGUGAGGGAAAGAUGAAAAGAACUUUGAAGAGAGA
rnacentral:rRNA from 1 species